GAUGAACGCUGGCGGCGUGCUUAACACAUGCAAGUCGAACGGAAAGGCCACAGCUUGCUGUGGUACUCGAGUGGCGAACGGGUGAGUAACACGUGGGUGAUCUGCCCUGUACUUCGGGAUAAGCUUGGGAAACUGGGUCUAGUACUGGAUAGGAAUCACAUGUGGGUGUGUGGUUGGAAAGCUUUUGCGGUAUGGGAUGAGCUCGCGGCCUAUCAGCUUGUUGGUGGGGUAAUGGCCUACCAAGGCGUCGACGGGUAGCCGGCCUGAGAGGGUGUACGGCCACAUUGGGACUUGGAUACGGCCCAGACUCCUACGGGAGGCAGCAGUGGGGAAUAUUGCACAAUGGGCGCAAGCCUGAUGCAGCGACGCCGCGUGGGGGAUGACGGCCUUCGGGUUGUAAACUCCUUUCGUCAGGGACGAAGCGAAAGUGACGGUACCUGGAUAAGAAGCACCGGCUAACUACGUG
rnacentral:rRNA from 1 species